rnacentral:rRNA from 1 species
GACGAACGCUGGCGGCGUGCUUAACACAUGCAAGUCAGGGGGGGCCCCCCUUUCGGGGGGGCAACCGGCGAACGGGUGCGUAACACGUGAGCGACCUGCCCGACUGCGGGGGAUAGCCGGCCCAACGGCCGGGUAAUACCGCAUACGCUCGGCCCCGGGCAUCCGGGGGCGAGGAAACCCCCCGUCGGGGGGCGGGACGGAGGGGCGUCGCGGCCUAUCAGCUAGUUGGUGCGGU